rnacentral:rRNA from 1 species
UACGGAGGGGGCUAGCGUUGUUCGGAAUUACUGGGCGUAAAGCGCACGUAGGCGGCUUUGUAAGUUAGAGGUGAAAGCCCGGGGCUCAACUCCGGAAUUGCCUUUAAGACUGCAUCGCUCGAAUUGUGGAGAGGUAAGUGGAAUUCCGAGUGUAGAGGUGAAAUUCGUAGAUAUUCGGAAGAACACCAGUGGCGAAGGCGACUUACUGGACAGUGACUGACGCUGAGACGCGAAAGCGUGGGGAGCAAACAGG